rnacentral:rRNA from 1 species
GGUGAGGUAACGGCUCACCAAGGCGACGAUACAUAGCCGACCUGAGAGGGUGAUCGGCCACACUGGGACUGAGACACGGCCCAGACUCCUACGGGAGGCAGCAGUAGGGAAUCUUCGGCAAUGGGGGCAACCCUGACCGAGCAACGCCGCGUGAGUGAAGAAGGUUUUCGGAUCGUAAAGCUCUGUUGUAAGAGAAGAACGUGUGUGAGAGUGGAAAGUUCACACAGUGACGGUAACUUACCAGAAAGGGACGGCUAACUACGUGCCAGCAGCCGCGGUAAUACGUAGGUCCCGAGCGUUGUCCGGAUUUAUUGGGCGUAAAGCGAGCGCAGGCGGUUUAAUAAGUCUGAAGUUAAAGGCAGUGGCUUAACCAUUGUUCGCUUUGGAAACUGUUAGACUUGAGUGCAGAAGGGGAGAGUGGAAUUCCAUGUGUAGCGGUGAAAUGCGUAGAUAUAUGGAGGAACACCGGUGGCGAAAGCGGCUCUCUGGUCUGUAACUGACGCUGAGGCU